CUCCUCCCCUUCCCGCUUCCUCUCAGGCUGUUUCUCGCUGAGAGCUUGGCCCAGUCAACUGUGAAAGAUUGUUCCAGACAGGCGAGGCCGAGCAGUUCACCUGGGGGCUGACCUCGAGCUUCACCCACGAGGGACCUGAGCCCCUGGUCCCAUCUCCAGCAGCCGCGGCUGCUCCACUUGACAGUCUCCAUGGGCGAGAGACUGAAGAUUUGUGUCCACCCAGAUCCUGUGUGGAAACCGUGCCCUGCAAUGUGAUGGUGCUGGGGGACGAUAGGAUCAUGAGGGGGCCCCCCACGAAGGGGAGACUGGUACCCUGGUUAAAGGGGUCCCACAGGGCUCCCUCUUUCCGCCACAUAAGGACACAGGGAGAAGUCAGCAGUUUGCAACCUGGAAGAGGAGCCCAGAUAGAACCAUGUGAGUUGGGCGCUGAGCAUCGUCGUCCCUGACUCUCUAUGGGGAAGCCGCCCUGUUCCCCUGGCUGGCCUGAGGUGGUUCUUCCUGCCAGGACAGGGGUUCCUUUCUCUGCCUGCUCAUCAGUCCACGAAGAGCCCAAAGGGACCAGAUGGCUACUGUGACUUGAAAUUCAAUGGGAUAUUUGCUGUGUCCCCUCUGGGAGCCCGACAUGCUGCACAGCCCAGAGUUGGAGCUCAGAGGCUGUGGCUGCCCGAGGUCUGUGGGGCUGUGCUCACUCCAGGCUCCGCCCAACCUACCUCCCCACGUCCAUCUCCCGCCGGCCCCAGAGGCACGUGAGUUUGCAUCCCUGGUCUAGAUCAUGACCGUCAUCCAGCCCCACUGUCAAGUUCUCAUGCAGAGGCAAGGACAACUGGAAGAAUUAAAGGAGGCCGGCGCUCACUUAUUCAUUCGACAAACGCUCACUGAGCUGUUCAGGAUGCACUGGGCACCGGGCCAGACAUGGGGAUGCAGCACAAACACACAAGUGGAUGGAGCCCACAUGCAGCGUACAGUCCGUUCCGGCCCAGUGGAAUUCUGCUCUGCGGCCUUGGGAGUGGAGAGCGAGGCUUCGGCAGUGUGAGGACCUCAAUAGGCGCCAGGAUCGCACCACGGCUAAGUAGCAGAGCUGCAGCUCGAACACAGAUCCUUGACCUUGACGUCUGCUUGGCAGCUCCAGGCCACCCCCUGUGCAGGACAGUGGAGGAAGACGGGCUCCUUCACGGGACACUGCUGCUAUCCGAACGGGUUUCGAGUGAGCCCUGCAGCGAGGUGGUGCAGAUGCAACUUUCCCGAACGCGUCUUAAAAAUGAGAGCCUUUUAAAAACGUUACGAAUAGGCUUUAUUGAUACCACGUGCAAACAACAACAACAAAGAAAGGAAGAUCGUCAGGUGUACACACGGCAAUCAAGCAGAUCGGGUGCGUUGGAACCCAUUAAAGUUAAUUGCUUUCACUUGUUAUUCCCGGGGGCUGUCGUAUCGGUAUUAAACGCCAGUGGAAUCUGCCGUAUGUUUGAUUUA